UUCCUGUUUUUUAAAUUGUUUCCUUUGUAGACGUCACAGCGGAUCCAUUCUAUUGACAGCGGCUCACCCCAAAGACAUUGCCAUGACGAUAGCUCAGAUUGUCAAGAAAUAUCCAGAGUAGGUGAAGAACAACUUGAAGAAAACCAGUUGGGCAAUAUGUUGAUACAACUGCUAACACACAGCAAUAGGCUAUGCAUAGCCCUAACCAAAGAGCAAUACACCUAGGACAUUACCUCUCCACAUACUGCAGUAUGUAGAUGCCCAACCAUAGCCAAGUUGCGUGUACGUGACUAUCGUCUCCUGUGGAUUACUUGUAACUGCUAUUGUUAUAUGAUAAGUACAAAUGCAUGGUAUUACCUGUAAAAUUGAAAUAACAAUAACAUAGAGUAGUACUGACUUGGCACCGUUCUCAUUAACUGAAGGUUUUUCAAGUGUCCUCAGUCUCUUAAUUUUUU
rnacentral:lncRNA from 1 species